GUUUCUAUAGUUUAAGUUUAAAACAUUGGUCUUGUAAACCAAAAAGUUAGUAUUUCUAUAAAAACU
rnacentral:tRNA from 1 species